UACGUUUACGCCGGCGCUCCUACUUGCUGAGAUACCUAGGUCUCCAUCUCAGCUGAGCCAGAAUGCGUACAUGGAGGAACGUGAUGACUUCGAUUAGGCGGCGUUACGCGCGUCAUUAGCUGAUGAGCGGCCUGUGAGGAAUUUAGAUGGACCCAGGAUUCUUGACUUCGAUGACUUUUUAAUCCCGGAUUCGGCCCCAGUAGGUUCACAAGAGCGACCCACUCAAGCAUUUUCUCAUGGGCCUACCGAGCCAACAGUGUCUUCCCAUGUGACUGUCGAGCCACAGGAUUCGGCGCCAGUGGGUCCACAGGAGCGACCCAUUCAGGAACCUACUCAUGAGCCUGCCGAGCCAGAGGUGUCUUCUCAUGAGACUAUCGAGCCACAGGUAAGCUUUUUACUUUAAAUCAAUUUUAUUCAAUAUAAGGUGAAUAUUAACUUAAUAUUUUUAACCUUUAUUUAGACCUCGAACAGCAUCUGGUCCAGGAGACUACAUCAUAUUCAGCACCAGAUCCAUCUCAGGAGCCUACAGACCCACCUCAGGAGCCUACUCAGGCGCCCGUUGAUACACAGGUUUGAUUAUUCAACAAACGUUAAUGUAUUCAAUUGAAUAAAUACGAAAUGGUACUAAUUAUUAUAUAUUUUGCAGGUUCAUCCUUCGGCGUCUGCGGUGGC